rnacentral:lncRNA from 1 species
AAGAUCAAGCACACAAAAGUAGAAAAAAUACUUAUCAACUUCAGCAAGAGGCUAUGCCUUGGGAAAGAAAUAGUCGUCAUCUGCAAGUUCUCUUGGAUCAGAAGGAGUUGUUUCUACAAGACCUUUUGAGUAGACCGAUUCAGGCUAUACCUUCAAGGAUGCACAAUGAUGGUUGACCAAGAUACAGUGGCUGCAUAAAUACUUUGUUUUUUUUCAUUGUUAUCUUUGG